UACAGGAGGAGGCGCUCCACAGGUACACAGAGUCGAGGAACAGGGAGCGAUCCGGAGCGCGAGACAGAGAAGCGACGAGAGGAGGAGAGAAAAGACAGGAGAGACUCAGUGCCUGAGAGCGAAGGGAAAGAAGAAGAAGACGAAGAGGAGGAAGAGGAGGAGGGGGAAGAGGAGCAGAGGCCGCUGUGUUCGGGAGGGCAGGAGCGAGUUCUACCCCUCGGCCUGGAGCACUCCCCCCCUGAACCACUAGCCACUGAGGGGCUGGACAGGACCCAGUCUUACAGAGAUGUGUGCCCUGAAGAAUGGCCUUCUGGGAAGGGCCAGGAGUUCCUGGAGGACUCCGCACAAGCCCAUGACUCCAGGCCAGG
ensembl:lncRNA